rnacentral:rRNA from 1 species
GACGAACGCUGGCGGCGUGCCUAAUACAUGCAAGUCGAGCGCAGGAAAUCGACGGAACCCUUCGGGGGGAAGUCGACGGAAUGAGCGGCGGACGGGUGAGUAACACGUAAAGAACCUGCCCUCAGGUCUGGGAUAACCACGAGAAAUCGGGGCUAAUACCGGAUGGGUCAUCGGACCGCAUGGUCCGAGGAUGAAAGGCCCUCCGGCGUCGCCUGGGGAUGGCUUUGCGGUGCAUUAGCUAGUUGGUGGGGUAAUGGCCCACCAAGGCGACGAUGCAUAGCCGACCUGAGAGGGUGAUCGGCCACACUGGGACUGAGACACGGCCCAGACUCCUACGGGAGGCAGCAGUAGGGAAUCUUCCACAAUGGACGAAAGUCUGAUGGAGCAACGCCGCGUGAACGAUGAAGGCCUUCGGGUCGUAAAGUUCUGUUGUAAGGGAAGAACAAGUGCCGCAGGCAAUGGCGGCACCUUGACGGUACCUUGCGAGAAAGCCACGGCUAACUACGUGCCAGCAGCCGCAGUAAUAC